AGAUCUAACAGAGGCGUAUUUAGUACGCCCGG
rnacentral:sRNA from 1 species